rnacentral:rRNA from 1 species
GAUGAACGCUGGCGGCGUGCCUAACACAUGCAAGUCGAGCGAACAGACGAUAAGAUUGCUCCCCUGCCGUUAGCGGCGGACGGGUGAGUAACAAGUGGAUCACAUACCUCUAAUACUUGGAUAACUUCGGGACACAGCAGCUAAUAACACAUAAUAUGUUGUACCGCAUGGUUCAACAGUGAAAUACGCCUUUCCUGUCUGAUUUAGAUGGUUCCGAGCCGCAUUAGCUAGUUGGUAAGGUAACGCCUUACCAAGGCUACGAUGCGUAGCCGACCUGAGAGGAUGAUCGGCCACACUGGAGCUGAGACACGGUCCAGACUCCUACGGGAGGCAGCAGUAGGGAAUCUUCCGCAAUGGGCGCAAGCCUGACCGAGCAACGCCGCGUGAGUGAAGAAGGUCUUCGGGUCGUAAAACCCUGUUAUUAGGGAAGAACAGAUGCGUAAGUAAAUAGCCACGUCUUGACGGUACCCAAUCAGAAAGCACCGGCUAACUACGUG